rnacentral:lncRNA from 1 species
CAUUUCAAGAGUAGAGAAAAUUGCACAUAAAGAUGAAAUUUGGGGUUAGAAAUCCAUUUAUUCCUUUCCAUAAAAUUACAGGCUUCUCUUUUAAAAAAUGACAUCUGUGUCUAGCAGAACAUGGAGCAGGGUUUGUGCUCUCUGCUCCGGAAGCCCAGACUCUUUCAGGUGGACGUGGAUGAUCAGUUGCCUGGAGUCCUUGGUCUUGUGCGAUGCCAGCCUUCACCUGUCCUGCACUUGCUGGUAACUGGGCCCUGGGUGGCACCACCCAGGGGGCAGCCAUGGUGACACUGU